rnacentral:lncRNA from 1 species
CAGGGUCCUUAAAGUGUGUGUGACAGUUGACAGAGCACAAAAAAGACUCCCCAUGGCAUGAUUACUGGAGUACCAUCAACCAGUCUGAUAAAGCCAGGGACUGUGUUAUGAUGGACUUUAGGAACAGAGGGCCAUACAACACCAGGAGACAUAUUGCUUUGCUUUUUAUCUACAAUCUACACUUCCCUUAAGACUAAAGAAGAGUAUCUUGGGGUGAGCAAAUAGAGUGUAAUCAUAAACCAACUUAGCUAGAAGGUCUGCCUAUUCUGCAGCUAAUAGAAUAGGAACUUGAGUUGAGGCAGAAGUGUAUGGCCCUUGCCACACUGCCCAAUAAACUCUAUCUCAAAUCAAGGUAAUAAAAAGGAAUCCAAGUUUCUUUUCGGUGGACAUAAAGACAAGAAUAUAACUGAAAUUCCACUCUUAGUACACCUCUUAAAAUUGUUAAAGAGAUAUCUUAGAGAUGAUUCUCCCAUAUUAUUGUUUUAUCACUUUUAGUGAUACAAAGACUUGCAAUGCCUAACUUCUAUACAACUGAACACUUCAGGAAACUGAGAUAUUCAUUCUUUAAUCUCCUAAUGUCUUACUUAAUAACUUGCUGCCCAAGUAACUGAUGUAAUUUAGCUUUCCAACAUUUAGACAAUUAUGAGUCAAAUGUCUAAGCUAGCAUAAUUCAGGAAACAUUAAUUGAAUUAAUGGUCAUGUUCUAUAAAGUUUUCUAGAAACUAGGUCCUCUAACUUUCUUCUAAUAAUCUUGGCAGGGGGGCCUCCAUUUUAAGAACAUGGAUUUAGGAAGACAUACACGCACUGGCUUCAAUCAAUGUCAACUCUCCAUAUGUUUGCAAUUAACUUUCAGUAGAUAGUCAUUUUGAAAGACUCACUUAUCAACAAAAAUGACAGAAUUCUUUCUAUCCCCAGGUGAGAAGCAUACUGAAAGGCAGACUGCCAUGUUUGUCCAGUUACAUUUGCCAAUUGUCUGUAGCUGCCUUAGAUAUGAGAUGCACAGGAUUUCCUUGGAACAUAGGUUUUCAAAGAACAAAAUAAUUUCACACAGAACUCAAGCUGUGAAGCUACUGAAUCAAUGCAAAUGGCUGGUGACUGUAAAUAUGGUGAAGUAGCUUAUGUUGAGACCACGCAAUUUGCUCAAGACAUCAUCUCCUUUGCAAAACAUUACACGACUAUGAAAAAGGUCAAGAAUGAAGGUGUAUUUAUAUUAAUUAACACUUCAUAGACAACAGGUCCAGUGCUUACUGUUUCACAGACAUGAAAAUGAAUUUAUUAGUAGCUGGCCUUGGAUUGUUACGAUAUAGCACUGUGGUGCCAAUAGAUAAAAAAUUCUUACUAAAUAAAUAUGUAAUCAAAUGAAGUAUGUUGCUUGUA